UCAGGACGAACGCUGGCGGCGUGCCUAAUACAUGCAAGUCGAGCGGACAGAUGGGAGCUUGCUCCCUGAUGUUAGCGGCGGACGGGUGAGUAACACGUGGGUAACCUGCCUGUAAGACUGGGAUAACUCCGGGAAACCGGGGCUAAUACCGGAUGGUUGUUUGAACCGCAUGGUUCAGACAUAAAAGGUGGCUUCGGCUACCACUUACAGAUGGACCCGCGGCGCAUUAGCUAGUUGGUGAGGUAACGGCUCACCAAGGCGACGAUGCGUAGCCGACCUGAGAGGGUGAUCGGCCACACUGGGACUGAGACACGGCCCAGACUCCUACGGGAGGCAGCAGUAGGGAAUCUUCCGCAAUGGACGAAAGUCUGACGGAGCAACGCCGCGUGAGUGAUGAAGGUUUUCGGAUCGUAAAGCUCUGUUGUUAGGGAAGAACAAGUGCCGUUCAAAUAGGGCGGCACCUUGACGGUACCUAACCAGAAAGCCACGGCUAACUACGUGCCAGCAGCCGCGGUAAUACGUAGGUGGCAAGCGUUGUCCGGAAUUAUUGGGCGUAAAGGGCUCGCAGGCGGUUUCUUAAGUCUGAUGUGAAAGCCCCCGGCUCAACCGGGGAGGGUCAUUGGAAACUGGGGAACUUGAGUGCAGAAGAGGAGAGUGGAAUUCCACGUGUAGCGGUGAAAUGCGUAGAGAUGUGGAGGAACACCAGUGGCGAAGGCGACUCUCUGGUCUGUAACUGACGCUGAGGAGCGAAAGCGUGGGGAGCGAACAGGAUUAGAUACCCUGGUAGUCCACGCCGUAAACGAUGAGUGCUAAGUGUUAGGGGGUUUCCGCCCCUUAGUGCUGCAGCUAACGCAUUAAGCACUCCGCCUGGGGAGUACGGUCGCAAGACUGAAACUCAAAGGAAUUGACGGGGGCCCGCACAAGCGGUGGAGCAUGUGGUUUAAUUCGAAGCAACGCGAAGAACCUUACCAGGUCUUGACAUCCUCUGACAAUCCUAGAGAUAGGACGUCCCCUUCGGGGGCAGAGUGACAGGUGGUGCAUGGUUGUCGUCAGCUCGUGUCGUGAGAUGUUGGGUUAAGUCCCGCAACGAGCGCAACCCUUGAUCUUAGUUGCCAGCAUUCAGUUGGGCACUCUAAGGUGACUGCCGGUGACAAACCGGAGGAAGGUGGGGAUGACGUCAAAUCAUCAUGCCCCUUAUGACCUGGGCUACACACGUGCUACAAUGGACAGAACAAAGGGCAGCGAAACCGCGAGGUUAAGCCAAUCCCACAAAUCUGUUCUCAGUUCGGAUCGCAGUCUGCAACUCGACUGCGUGAAGCUGGAAUCGCUAGUAAUCGCGGAUCAGCAUGCCGC
rnacentral:rRNA from 1 species